AUUGAACGCUGGCGGCAGGCCUAACACAUGCAAGUCGAACGAGUGGCGGACGGGUGAGUAAUGUCUGGGAAACUGCCUGAUGGAGGGGGAUAACUACUGGAAACGGUAGCUAAUACCGCAUACCAUCGGAUGUGCCCAGAUGGGAUUAGCUAGUAGGUGGGGUAAAGGCUCACCUAGGCGACGUUCCCUAGCUGGUCUGAGAGGAGGAACAGCCACACUGGAACAGAGACAGGGUCCAGACUCCUACGGGAGGCAGCAGUGGGGAAUAUUGGACAAGGGGCGCAAGCCUGAUGCAGCCAUUCCGGGUGUAUGAAGAAGGCCUUCGGGUUGUAAAGUGCUUGCAGCGGGGAGGCGUUACCCGCAGAAGAAGCACCGGCUAACUCCGUGCCAGCAGCCGCGGUAAUUC
rnacentral:rRNA from 1 species